CCUGUUUCCGUGAAAAUAAGCCCUAUCUUAUUUUCUGGGGAUGCUCGUAAUAUAAGCCCUACCCUGAAAAUAAGCCCUAGUCAUUAGUUUGUUAAUCUAUGUUCGGGCAGCCGCGAUAUUGGAGACUACCUCCGCACAACCUCGAGGCCAGACACAGCCAAGAUGGCGCCGGCUGAGGUCUACACGCCAACGUCGUCGGACGAUGACAGCGCUGCUGCCGACCCUCUACCUCCUUCCCGGCCACGCUCAGGGCCACAAACAGCUACUGAGCUGGCAGAGUCUGCACCAUCAACCAAAGCAGACAUCAGGGCACUAAUGGCUG